UCCCUGAGAGUUCAGUGGUUAAGGCACUGUGCUCCCCAUGCAGGGGCCCAGGUUCAAUCCCUGGUCAGGGAA
rfam:Ovis aries breed Texel chromosome 1, whole genome shotgun sequence.